UACGUAGGUGGCGAGCGUUGUCCGGAUUUACUGGGCGUAAAGAGCGCGCAGGCGGCUGGUCAAGUCCGAUGUGAAAGCUCCCGGCUUAACUGGGAAAUUGCAUCGGAAACUGAUCGGCUGGAAGGUGGGAGAGGGUAGCGGAAUUCCCGGUGUAGUGGUGAAAUGCGUAGAUAUUGGGAAGAACACCGGUGGCGAAAGCGCCUUGCUGGGUCUGCACUGACACUGAGGGACGAAAGCUAGGGGAGCGAAAGGG
rnacentral:rRNA from 1 species